GUCCACGCCGUAAACGAUGAGUGCUAAGUGUUAGAGGGUUUCCGCCCUUUAGUGCUGCAGCAAACGCAUUAAGCACUCCGCCUGGGGAGUACGGUCGCAAGACUGAAACUCAAAGGAAUUGACGGGGGCCCGCACAAGCGGUGGAGCAUGUGGUUUAAUUCGAAGCAACGCGAAGAACCUUACCAGGUCUUGACAUCCUCUGACAACCCUAGAGAUAGGGCUUCCCCUUCGGGGGCAGAGUGACAGGUGGUGCAUGGUUGUCGUCAGCUCGUGUCGUGAGAUGUUGGGUUAAGUCCCGCAACGAGCGCAACCCUUGAUCUUAGUUGCCAGCAUUCAGUUGGGCACUCUAAGGUGACUG
rnacentral:rRNA from 1 species